CUUUUUAAACAUAUUGUGCAGUAGAGACAUGACAUUUUAAAGUAAAUCAAGUAAAUGUUCUAUGCUCAGGUACCUGUAUACAAUUCAUUACAAUACAUCUUAUAUAUGUAUGUGUUGAUGAAUAUUGCUUGAGCAUUAGAAUUAGUUUGUUUGUUUUUACAAAUCUGCAUUGAUUGUUUCCAGGAGAUGCUAUGCAUAAUACAAAACACUCAUAAUUCCACUGUCUGAAUAAACAGAUAAUUUGAGGUUAAUAGUUACAAGCAAUGUUAAAAGUACUGCUUUUCUGUGCUCUAUUUCAGUACAACUCGCCAAUUUAGUCAAUAUUUCACAUCUUCUUAUACUUUUACUUCUUCUG